rnacentral:rRNA from 1 species
UACGGAGGGGGCGAGCGUUAUUCGGAAUUAUUGGGCGUAAAGGGCGCGUAGGCGGCUUGGUAAGUCAGAGGUGAAAUCCCUCGGCUCAACCGAGGAAUUGCCUUUGAAACUGCCUGGCUUGAGGCCGGGAGGGGGUAGCGGAAUUCCCAGUGUAGCGGUGAAAUGCGUAGAUACUGGGAGGAACACCGGUGGCGAAGGCGGCUACCUGGACCGGUUCUGACGCUGAUGCGCGAAAGCGUGGGGAGCAAACAGG